GACGUAGGGCGCGAGCGUUGUCCGGAUUUAUUGGGCGUAAAGAGCUCGUAGGCGGCUUGUCGCGUCGACUGUGAAAACCCGCGGCUCAACUGUGGGCUUGCAGUCGAUACGGGCAGGCUGGAGUUCGGUAGGGGAGACUGGAAUUCCUGGUGUAGCGGUGAAAUGCGCAGAUAUCAGGAAGAACACCCGUGGCGAAGGCGGCUUUCUGGGACGGUACUGACGCUGAGACGCGAAAGCGUGGGGAGCGAACAGG
rnacentral:rRNA from 1 species